GACGGGGCCGCACAAGCGGUGGAGUAUGUGGUUAAUUCGACGCAACGCGAAGAACCUUACCAGGUCUUGACAUCGCCUGACAGCCUAUGAAAGUAGGUUUCUUCUUCGGAAGACAGGUAGACAGGUGGUGCAUGGUUGUCGUCAGCUCGUGUCGUGAGAUGUUGGGUUAAGUCCCGCAACGAGCGCAACCCUACCUUUAGUUGCCAGCAAGUGAAGUUGGGCACUCUAAAGGGGCUGCCGUUGACAAACGGAGGAAGGUGGGAUGACGUCAAAUCAUCAUGCCCUUUAUGACCUGGGCUACACACGUACUACAAUGGCCGGUACAGACGGAAGCGAAGCCGCGAGGUGAAGCGAAUCCGAGAAAGCCGGUCCCAGUUCGGAUUGUAGGCUGCAACUCGCCUGCAUGAAGUCGGAAUCGCUAGUAAUCGCAGGUCAGCAUACUGCGGUGAAUACGUUCUCGGGCCUU
rnacentral:rRNA from 1 species